UUUGAUCCUGGCUCAGGAUGAACGCUGGCGGCGUGCUUAACACAUGCAAGUCGAGCGAGAGAGUUCCUUCGGGAGCAAUCUAGCGGCGGACGGGUGAGUAACACGUGGGCAACCUGCCUCAUAGAGGGGAAUAGCCUCCCGAAAGGGAGAUUAAUACCGCAUAAUAUCAUUGAGUGGCAUCAUUUAAUGAUUAAAGGAGCAAUCCGCUAUGAGAUGGGCCCGCGGCGCAUUAGCUAGUUGGUGAGGUAACGGCUCACCAAGGCGACGAUGCGUAGCCGACCUGAGAGGGUGAUCGGCCACAUUGGGACUGAGACACGGCCCAGACUCCUACGGGAGGCAGCAGGUGGGGAAUAUUGCACAAUGGGGGAAACCCUGAUGCAGCAACGCCGCGUGAGUGAUGAAGGUCUUCGGAUUGUAAAGCUCUGUCUUCAGGGACGAUAAUGACGGUACCUGAGGAGGAAGCCACGGCUAACUACGUG
rnacentral:rRNA from 1 species